rnacentral:rRNA from 1 species
UGCCAGCAGCCGCGGUAAUACGGAGGGUCCAAGCGUUAUCCGGAUUUAUUGGGUUUAAAGGGUGCGUAGGCGGGAUAAUAAGUCAGAGGUGAAAGCCCACAGCUUAACUGUGGAACUGCCUUUGAUACUGUUAUCCUUGAGUUCAGAUGAGGUGGGCGGAAUGUGACAUGUAGCGGUGAAAUGCUUAGAUAUGUCACAGAACACCAAUUGCGUAGGCAGCUCACUAAACUGAUACUGACGCUGAGGCACGAAAGCGUGGGUAGCAAACAGGAUUAGAUA